UACGGAAGGUCCGGGCGUUAUCCGGAUUUAUUGGGUUUAAAGGGAGUGUAGGCGGCCUGUUAAGCGUGUUGUGAAAUGUAGAUGCUCAACAUCUGAACUGCAGCGCGAACUGGCUGGCUUGAGUACACGCAACGUGGGCGGAAUUCAUGGUGUAGCGGUGAAAUGCUUAGAUAUCAUGAGGAACUCCUAUUGCGAAGGCAGCUCACGGGAGUGUCACUGACGCUUAAGCUCGAAGGUGCGGGUAUCAAACAGG
rnacentral:rRNA from 2 species